rnacentral:rRNA from 1 species
UACGGGAGGCAGCAGUCGGGAUUUUGGGCAAUGGGCGAAAGCCUGACCCAGCAACGCCGCGUGAAGGAUGAAGUAUUUCGGUAUGUAAACUUCGAAAGAAUAGGAAGAAUAAAUGACGGUACUAUUUAUAAGCUCCGGCUAACUACGUGCCAGCAGCCGCGGUAAUACGUAGGGAGCAAGCGUUGUUCGGAUUUACUGGGCGUAAAGGGCGCGUAGGCGGCGUGUUAAGUCAGCUGUGAAAUCUCCAAGCUCAACUUGGAACGGCCAGCUGAUACUGAUGUGCUAGAGUGCAGAAGGGGCAAUCGGAAUUCUUGGUGUAGCGGUGAAAUGCGUAGAUAUCAAGAGGAACACCUGAGGUGAAGACGGGUUGCUGGGCUGACACUGACGCUGAGGCGCGAAAGGCCAGGGGGAGGCCCCAACGGGAAUUAAGAAUACCCCCGGUUAGUCCUUGCCCCUAAACGAUGAAUACUGGGUGUCUGGGAGUUUUCAAUACUCCGGGUGCCGUCGCUAACGUUUUAAGUAUUCCGCCUGGGGAGUACGCACGCAAGUGUGAACUCAAAGGAAUUG